rnacentral:rRNA from 1 species
AUGUGCAUCUUCCUCCCGGACGCCCGUGACGGGCUCCAUGCCCUCGUCGAGAUGAUGGCGUCGAGCCCAGGCUUCAUCGGCUCACACCUUCCGACGAGCCUUGUCCCGGUCAGGAAGUUCAGGCUGCCUAGAUUCAAGCUGGCCUUCUCAAAAGACAUGUCUGGCAUUCUCCGGGAGUUGGGACUCGUGGUGGCGUUCGACGAAAAGAAAGCGGACAUGUCCGACAUGGUGGAGGACGACGGGAUCAUCCACAAGGCGGUCAUCGAGGUGAAUGAGGACGGUACCGAGGCUGCAGCCGUCACCGCGUCUAUGAUGGUUGGCAAAAGCGCGCCCAAGCAUCCGCGACCGGUUCCCGUGGAUUUUGUUGCUGACCAUCCUUUUGCCUUCUUUGUGAUUGAGAAGUCGGGCACCAUCGUCUUUGCAGGGAACGUCCUUGAACCCUCGCCAUCGACGGAGAUCAGCAAUGUCAAACAUGCUAGCGAAGGAGGCAUGCGCCUAGCUGAAAGCAGAAGGUUGAAGAGAAAGGGCUCUGAUUACCAUGUAAAACUAGGUGGAAGUGUAUGCUAUCAGCAAGGAUGCAUGCACGUUAUAAAAAGGUUCAAGGCCAGGAGAUUACAGAAGUUACGAACCAGUCGUUAUGGGCUUUGA